UUAUGGUCAUAUCACGUUGGAACACUGGUUCUCGUACGAUCACCGAAGUCAAGCAACGUCGAGCCUGAUCAGUACCUAGACGGAUGAUCGCUUAGGAAUGAAAGGUGCC